CAGUCGCCACGGUAAUACGUAGGUGGCAAGCGUUGUCCGGAAUUAUUGGGCGUAAAGGGCUCGCAGGCGGUUUCUUAAGUCUGAUGUGAAAGCCCCCGGCUCAACCGGGGAGGGUCAUUGGAAACUGGGAAACUUGAGUGCAGAAGAGGAGAGUGGAAUUCCACGUGUAGCGGUGAAAUGCGUAGAGAUGUGGAGGAACAUCAGUGGCGAAGGCGACUCUCUGGUCUGUAACUGACGCUGAGGAGCGAAAGCGUGGGGAGCGAACAGGAUUAGAUACCCCAGUAGUCCCUGUCUCUUAUAA
rnacentral:rRNA from 1 species